GAGACUUUGUCUCAAGAAAAAAAAAAUCUGACGGUGUAGGGGAAAUUUCUGAAUUUAUCCUCAGAGAACAUCAAAGCUGCUCUGCAAAAUGAAGGGUGGCCUCCAAGAGGCUGGGGAGACACCUUCUACUCGGGCAUCUUCUGGGCUUUUCCCAGAGGAAGCCCCCCAGUGGGAGAUGAUUUGGGGGUUGGAGAGGAGAGGAAGGAACUGGAAACUGGGAGGGAGGAUGUCGGGGAGAGGAGAUGAGAAGGGCCUCUGGGGCAGGGGGCAGAUAAGGCCAGGGCAUGGGGACAGCAAUGACCACAGCUAACUUGUCUAAUGGUGGGAGGGGCCAAGUCAUUCGGAGCAGCGAUGUCGGACGUUGACUGUGGUGUAGUUUCCUAUUCUGUUCUGUCUUUGGUAUUUCUUAAGCUUUGUUACCCACUCAUCAGUGUCGCCCUAGUGGUGGCAGUGUGCUGGGGAAGGAGAGGGUAAAGUGACACAAAGACAGGGUAUCCAGACUACCAAACGGCUCAAGGAAAAAGCUGAGGGCAGGAGCUCUGUGCUGGUGUAACAGGAAAAGAAAAAAGUCAAGAAAAAUCUAAGUGUCCUUCUUCCCUUUUAACCCAGGAAUACUUAGGGGCCUUUAGGAUGGAGGCUUGGGUUCUUUCAUGUGAUUGGAAUUAUUUCUCUGAUUCCAAAAAGCUGGAGGACUUGAAAAGUAAACUAUAAAUAUGGAUUUCCCUUCUGUGUCCUGCCUGACCCUGAGAAUUCUGGCUGUGAAGGUUUGGGACCAGGUUGCACCCAGGUGGCUCAGAUGUGCCGUCACACUUGGGGACUAGUGCCAUAGACCAUGGGGGCCAGGGGAAUUUUACAGAAGGAGUUUUGGUUUGAGAACACUCACUUUGGCGGCAGGGUGAUGGUGGGUUAACAGAACCCAGUGACUCCAGGCUUGGGAAUCCUGCUAGCUUCUAACUUCCGCAUCUUAUUGUAAAGUCACAAAAUGGCCAAAGCAAAUACCCCCUUUUGCAAAGGCAGAGCACAGCUUGAGCUUCAAAGGCGAAGCCUAGUUCCCUUCCCCAGCUGAAGUGCUCCAAUAUUCCCCUACUUUUCAAUAAAAUGCUGAAAAGAAAUUUCUGCGAGGCUCCCAUGCUUAUAAAAGAGAUGUUUACUAUGUGUACUUAAUUAAAGUUGAGAAUAGGCAAACCCCUUUAGGGGUUUUUCUUCACUUAGAAAUGCAUCCUGUGUUCUAAUUUUGAGGGACAAAAUGUAACAAUUAUUGGGCAUAAUAAAAGGAAUUGCCUCUAAAUCUAUGCAGCCUCCACUCCCUGGACCUCCGUUUUUAAUGUAAGUGUGGGCAAUACCAGGAAAUGAGCCGGGCACAAUAUUUGCACUCGGUCUUCAAAUCUCCACGCUGCCUAUUUGGAGUCUUAGGUAAACAUAUCCUCAGCCACAGAGCACGGACUUGGGCAAACGCUGCCGCCUCCUCAAUAAGGCGCCUCCUCUCUGGGUUCUGAUUGGCAUCUCUCAAAUCCAUUGUAAUCUUUGGCAGCCAGAAAACAAAAGGCACACACUGGAACUUCAGGCAGUAAGUGCCUUACACAGAAAAAGACUUUCACGUCUAAUUCUUCACCAAACAUCAGAAGAAAAUGCAUAUUUCAGCAGUCAUCUCACUUGUUCACGGACACUUUAAUACACAAAUCUCAAGUAUACAUGUGUUAUUAUAUGAACCUCUAUACAGUAUAGGUAGUGCAUAUGCAAAUGUAUUAUUAUUAAUGGUAUAUAAUCCUUCUGCAAUCGUAUGAAGUGAUAUAAGCACUACAUAUAGAUACAUGUCUCAAAUACAGAGUGUUACACAUCACGCUAACAUUUGUAAUACUCACGACUCUAUACCAUUCGAAAUGCUAAUUGUCAUUUGUUUUUGUUUUGUUUUUUUUCCUGAGUUCAAGUCCAUUUGUUUUGGAAGAACAAGACUGAAGCUCACAUUGUUCUAACAGUAUGGCCAGCUGCUGGCUUUACCACAAUGAGACCCAUUGUUGGGUAAAUGGAGUCCCUCAGAAGUGAGACCGGGCACAAUGGAGGUAAUGAGGGAGGACACUCACUUGUCCCUUUAAAUACACAAGGCUGUCUACUAUUAUGGGAUGGAAUCAGAUGAAAUAAGAAGCUGUUGUUUAGUCAUUUCCAUUGGCAAUAAAUAGCGCCAGGUGCUUUACUCAUUGGAACAUCUUCACUCCUCAAAGCAAUCACAUGAGGUGGGAGUUAUUAUCUCCGUUUUACAGAAGAGGAAACUGAGCCUGCCUGCAUCAAGAAAGAAACAUAAGCAAGAAAGGAUACACACCCAUCAUGAAACAGGCCCAAAGUGGAAGAGACCCUGGAACCUCCUGCCUUUUCGUGGUCUCUGCUCUGACACUCCCUAACAGAGGGCUGGCCUGAAUGACAGCACACCAGGAGUCUGGAGCCUAGACGUCCCAAGUCAGCCAUCAGGGUUCCAGAUGAAGACGGAAUGAACUCAUCAGCCUUCGCUGAAGAAGCCACCACUACUAGCUGCCAAGACGUCAUGGGCACACCCAGCAAGUCACUCCUGGGAAACUGAACUUCUUUUGCCUAACAUUGCAAUUGUAUUUAUGUGAACCUAAAGAUUUCUUAAAACCACUUUUAAUUCUCUUCAGUGUCAUGAUUCCAUUUGGAAAUUUUUCUCAUGUCUUGGAAGCACCUGGCCUGUUGUGAAACAUCUACAUUAUGGGAUAAAGGGGAAAAUUCAAGUACAGUGGUCCCCCGGAUCCACAGGGCUUACACAUUUUAAGAUCCCCAGUGUAUGCCUGAAACCUCAGAUAGGAUCAAGCGCUAUAUAUACUAUGUUUUUCCUGUACGUACAUACCUAUGAGAAAGGUCAAUUUAUAAAUCAAGCACAGUAAGAGUUUAACAACAAUACCUAAUAAUAAAAUGGAACAAUGAUAACAAUAUACUGUGAUAAAAGUUAUGUGAAUGUGUGUCUCUCUCUCAAAAUAUCUUACUGCACUGAAGCUAAGAAAGUAAAAUCUCAGAUAAGGAGGACUACCUAAUGAAAAAAGCACUCUUAUUAGAAAGAUUAGAUGAGGAUUGCAUCCAAUGUUCUCUAGUGACUUUUCCUCACCUGUCCCUGGGUUUAUGGCUGAGGCUCUAUACCAAAAGACAGAUUUACAAGAGAAAAGCAUUUACAUUUAUUUAAUGCACGUCUUAUGUGACACGGGAGGCUUCGGAAAUGAAAACGCGAAGAAACAGAGAAAUGUGUGCACGUUCACGCUGAGUUCGGCGAAGAGGUAGAUCAUUGUGGAGAAUGUGAUGGAACAAAGGGGGUCUGACCUGAUGGUAAUAAACUAGGGGGAAGCUGGCAAGGCCCAUUGGUUCAGAUUCUUCUCUGUGUCCAUGUGUCUUCAGAAACUAGGACGUUCC